UACGGGGGGGGCAAGCGUUGUUCGGAAUUACUGGGCGUAAAGGGCUCGUAGGUGGCCAACUAAGUCAUACGUGAAAUCCCUCGGCUUAACCGGGGAACUGCGUCUGAUACUGGAUGGCUUGAGUUUGGGAGAGGGAUGCGGAAUUCCAGGUGUAGCGGUGAAAUGCGCAGAUAUCAGGAGGAACACCGGUGGCGAAGGCGGGUCUCUGGGCCGUAACUGACGCUGAGGAGCGAAAGCGUGGGGAGCGAACAGG
rnacentral:rRNA from 1 species